AAGGUUGUGUGAUAGUCAUUUUGAGGCAAAAUACAUUUCUGCUUGGUCUCACAAGUUAUUUGGGAACGCUGUUCCAACUCUCAAUCUUCCUGGUUCAACAGGCCCAAAUGAUGUAUAUGAUACUCCAUCAACAUCUUAGUCUUCAAAUAGUUCUGCUCAAGAAAGUAAUCAAUUAAAUGAGUUAGUCAUUGAGAUUCCAGAAUUGAACGAAUCUUCUCACAGUAUUGAAGGUAAUGCAGGCAGUGCACUAUUGUCACCAUAUCAGUUACUGAUAUCAACUGGGAUUGCAAAGCAUACAAUGACACCAAAAAA